ACAAGUCUGUUCUCUUCAUACAUAUAUAUAUAUUUUUUUUAAUUCACAGAAAUUAUAUUGGUUAUUGCCAUGGCGGGGUGGGACUGUAAUUAAAUUUUUCUUCUCCAUUUGCCAAAUAUGCCAUGCUAGUUUUACUUUGAUAAAAAAGAAAAAUUUUUUAACCUCUCUAAACCCUAGAAACUGAACCAUUAAUCCUAAAGUUUAUGAAAAGAAAAUUUUCCACAGACAAUUUACUGAUCAGUAGGCUUUUAUUUGGCAAUUCAUGGGCGGAGCAGCAUCCCAUGUGGCAGAGAAAAGGGGGCUCGGAAGAGCUGUAGGAGGCCAUAGGGUCUUAGAGACCAAAGGGAGCAGAAACAAGGAAGUUGCCCUGGGCAUUGCUGACGGUUAACUUCCCUUCUGUGGAGCGCAGGGAGGUCUUGGAGCCUGUGCGGCAUGGGCCUGCGGGGCUGGGAGCGCCGGGCCUGCCUGUUCUGGGGGAGCCACGCAGAAGCGCAGUGGAGUUCUGGUUUGCUGACGGGAAUCUUAGCAUGAGCGGCUCCAUCUUGGGCCUGAUCUGGUUACUUUCACAACUUGAAUUCUUAUAAAUAUGUGUGUUAAAUUUUUUAAAAAGGAGAGGCAUAUACUCAAUUUGAGAAUCUGAGCUAAAUACACAAAUGACCAAAUGUAUCUUCUUACCUUUAAAAGAUAAGAAACCGGGAGUGCGGUGCUUUGUCCCAAGCAGCCUGGCUGUGCCUCACUCAGAUCUCUUGUCCUCAGUUUAUUAAUUUCCCCCAAACCUAGAAACUCAUACGGUUGUCAGUUUUGACAUCUCACGUGUAAGGAAAUUUCCAAAUCGUCUGUCAUGUUGCGGAAGCAGAGCUUCGGGCUUCCCCACCAGAAGUCCUCCAGGUUCUGAGAUGAGCCUAUUUGAAUUGUGCAUCGUGUGCUCCACUGCCCGCCACUGUGGCCGAAGCUAAUGCUUUGUGGAAAUCAGCAGUUCAGACCCUCACUGAAUACAAACACCUAGCAUUUCCCAGGGUACAGAACCACUCUGGAAUGCCCUGUCCAGCUAAAUGCUGAUUUUCCGUAAAAAAAAAUAUCAGGUUUAUUUACAUCAAUUCAUGGUCCUGUGGACCUCCUUUUUAAUUUCAAAUGGAACUACAAAGCAUGUUAACAUGAAAAUCAGUCUCUCUCUCUCCAGCCCGUUCCUUUGGACUUUGCAUUUUAACAGGCCAUAGUGAUGGAACCAGGGGAUGGCUGCAUUGUUAUGAUUUUGUUUUUAAUUUUUAUAUAAAACCCUGUUCUAAAAUGUAAAAAGCGAAUGGGAAGUCUGGUGUCUGGAAGGAUAGUCACCCUGACUUAGAUCCUCCGUGAAGAGAAGAGGGUGAUGGACAGCAGAGGAGAGGAGAGUUUUCCCAGUGAAAACUUUCCCCAGUGAGUGGCCUCUCCAGGCCUCACAAAGAUGAAGCGAAGCCCUCAGGCCUGGCUCCACAGGACAGUGGAGUCCCACACACUGGGCACUUGUUGGAGCUUGGAGGUGUUUUGUUGAGUGAGUGAAUGUGUGUGAACCCAUUCCCACCCUGCCGGGGUCUCUUAUUUACCCCAGCCAGUCAGGACCAGGUACAGGCAGACAGCCCGGAUUGGACUUCAUGAGAGUUUGUGCCCACUCUGGGUACCACUUGAAGAUACGUCAUCACUGUUAGACCUUCCGGUCAUCACUGAAUGUCCAAGAGCCAGAAUGUGGGCAGUAUAUCGAAGCAUGUACAAAACAGAGGGACAGAGUCCCAAUAUGGAGAAUGUCAGUGGCCCCUUGAGUUCCCUGGAGGAGACAUGACAGCCUGUGUAUCAGGGUCGGGUACAGAGAUGGCUGAGGAGACAGUGACUCACCCCUCUGGUUGCGGAACACCUUUUGACAGCAGCUGGCCUGACUACCUGGGGGGAAAAGGGCAUCUUGGCCAGCCUACUUCAUGGCUUGCAAUGCCACAAGACUUCCUGCAUGUGAAAGAUGCUCAUAACUUAAAAAAAAAAAAAAAUUAAACUACUUUUGGUGUCAAACACUAUCAAAUCUCUUGUUUUACAAAUACAGGAAAUAAAUUUAGGUCCCAGGAGUUAAAAGUCUCUCCCAAGGUUGUGAAACAAGAUUAAAAGGGAGCUGGCACCAAAACCCAUUCUCUCGACAAGCAGGUGUUCGGCUUUAUGAGCCCCACCCAGCUCAUUAGUUGAGGAAAUUGAAUGGAGGGGAGUUGGGGGAUGGGGCAUGACUCCCCUUGACAUAUGGAUUCCUCCACAGGAAGGGCAUGUAAAUCUUGUCUUAUCUCUGGAGAACUGUUGGCUAAACCACUUAAAAUCAGUCGUUCAACAUUUAUUGACCACCUACUAUAUGCUGGGCCAGCCCCAGAGACACAGCAGCCUCUGCCCGCAUGGAACUUACUGGCUUGAAAGGGAUCCUGAUGCCAAUCAGAUUUUUUUUUUAAGUAUGCAAAGAAAUCAAUCAUAUGUAAUUACAAAGCAUGCUGUGAAGGAAGAAGUCCACAAUGCUGGGAGAGCAGGUAUAGGAGCGCCUGAGCACGUCUGGGGAAUCAUUAGAGAUGAUGGUAACUUGGUAAAUAAUUAUCUCUAACCUUUAUUGGGCGUUUACCUGAGUCAGGCUUCAUGUGCUGCUUAACUUCUUUAAUUCUCGAAACAACCUCUCAGGCAGGUAUUGUUAUUUUCUCCUUUUACAGAUGAAUAAACUGAAACAAAAAGAUGUAAAUAAUUUGCCUGUGGGCCUCUGGUUCCAGGUCUUACUCUAUAUUCAUGACUAUGGAGGCGGGUGUGGUCUAGGAAUGGGAGAAACUAAGAUUGCUGAAGUGCAGGGUGAAGGGUCUAGAUGAAGCUGGGCCACAUCGUGUGGGUCUGAUAGGCUAUGAUGCUCACGUCAAAAAUUGUAGUGUUGCUAUCCAAGCGAACGUGGGUCUGCUCACCUGCCAUGCAGAAAAGCCAGUCCACUGACACCAGGUUGUAGUGAAGGAAAGUACAGCGUUUGUUUGCCAGGUGCCGAGCAAGGAGUCUUGUGCCCAGGAGUCCCACAGGGCCCUGCUCCGUAUCAGCUGGGCAGGCGCUUGCCUGGGCCUAAGCUGGGAACGCCCGCAUUCCUGAGGGGCUGCUGUUCCGUUCCCUCAGACACCCUCGCUGUUCUAGGGAAUGCCCUGUUACCAGCUCUAAAUGUCAGCCCCACAGCUCCUGGCUCCUCCAAGGCUUGCUUCCAAGAGGACUGAUUUGCCAAAAGUCUGGAAUAGAGUUCUGGUAAACAGUUUUCCCCCUGCCAAGAGGACAGGCUGUGUUUCUAAAGACAGAUAUGUGGCUCUUGUGUGUGGAGAGACGAUCUGGGGCGUGAGCCUCUGUGGCUUAAUAGAGUGCUGUGGGAACUCUGAAGCCCUGGAUUGCUUUCUCUGCCAGUGGUUUUCUGGGGUUGCCAAGUGCACAGGAAGCAGAGAGGGCCCAGCUGUGGGGAACGCAGACUGGAGCCAAACUAAACUGGUUAUUGUCUCAGCCACGUGGGAAACGUCCUCCUUGUCUCCGAUUAAGUCCAUCUGAGAUGAAGAUGACACAUCUUUUGUUCUAACAAACGGCAUAUCAAGGCCACUCAGCACCGGAGAAAGUCCCCUGUGCUACAGGAGCUGGGGUUGGUGGCUCCUAUUUGUAAAGAGCAAGCUGAUCUGAUGAGGUAUCUGACCCCAUAGUUCGAUUCCGAAUUUUUACGUUCUGUUUAAACUCAGAUAUAUUUAUGGAAGGCAGAAAAAAUAAAGGCUAAAGAAGUCAGGCUUGCCCUUCUCUUGGGUUUCCAGGAAUCUGCCAGACCCCUUUCUGAAACAGAUGUAGGGCCUGUUCCUCCUGGACGAGGUGUUGUGCGCCACCUUGUGGAUAUAAUGGGAACUGCACGUUGCCAGGCUUCUCUGGGCUCAGAGGAUGAGCCACCUUCCCUAACCGUGCCCAGCUGAGAAGGUGAGGGGACUGCCACAUCCCCGUCCCCUGAAGUAAAGGCCAGGCUCCAGGUCUGUCCAAGGACCACCACAAAACGGAAUGCUACUCUUCAAUGCAUCAGACCAUCUAUGGCAGUCACCGCCACCAUCUGCCGGCCACCCGUAAGCCUGUGCAAAUGGAGAUGGGACACGGCCUGCACUGGAUCUCAAGUCUGUGCUUUUGUAGAAAUAAAAUUCCAAGGCUUUCUUCUUUAUCCAGAGGAAGCAAGACAAUGGGAAAUUAA